ACAUUGAAAACCACUUUUCAUUCAACAUUUAUAUCUCCAUUGUAGUGAUUCGAAAGUGUACCAGGGUACAACCAAAGCAACUACAGAAUAUCAUAAGAAGAAUAUGAGAUCAACAGCAAUCUAGCAGUAGCAAUUAACAGCGGAACAACAGUUUUUUGAAAUUCAAAACCCACAAAAUAUUAGCCCCUUCUCAAAUCCCAGAAAAUCAGCCACAGCUUCAAACCAUUUUCCAAACUCCAAAUGAAUCAAAACUUGCUUCAGAAGUUGAAAGCCUCAAGCGUCAAAGAAGGAAAUUCAAUAUAACAUUAGGUUUUCUCUAAAAUUCCUCCGUUUUUGGUUUUUUAGAUUUUUAUCUCUUAAUUUCUCUGCCUCGAAAGGCAAGAUAUAGAUGCCUUUAUAUGCAAGAAAAUAGGGCAGACCUAAGAGUCAGAUUUUUGCAAUUAUGCCCUUUUUCAAUUUUGUUUUUUGCUUAGGAAGCCCUAGUGUAAGCCCCAUAUUUCAAAACAGUCCCAAGGUCAUCUUCUCAUAAGCUUCUAGGUAGUUACACCCAGAUUCCCUAAACCAAUUACCUAAACUACCCCCUAAAUGCCCCUUAAUUACCAUACAAACAAACCUUGCACCUCAAACUGCCCAGAUACCUUUGGGCCCUUGCCUCAUCGAGUUAAAUAACUAAUUGGGGUUCUCACACUUGGCAAACCCGAUUUCAUUUUAGGCAGAUGAAUUCCCCAAUCAAACUAAAUAAACCAAACGACUUCACACUGUGAAAUUAGACCCAAUAGUAGAACUGGACAAUUAAAUAAACAAAGUAAAAACUGGCAAAUACUAAUCCGAAAUUAACUGAACAUUACGCUAAAACGACUCGAUAAUAAUCACGCAAACAUAACAAUUUCAAAAAAUGGUAAGCAAAAUAAUCAAGAAAGGAUGGAAACAUAUGGGACAAUGGCUAGAAAUGAAACAAUGAAACGAAGAAAGACGAGAAGAGAAUAGAAAUACCUACAUGGGCAGGCGGACGCGGCUUGAAAACCUCAAGCAGACUUCGAUUUGACCCGAAAUCAAUUGAGUGUUCUCAUUGACAACAAACGACCAUUGGCAAUUUCAGCCCUAAUCGUUCUCUGAAACUCAAAGAUUUUGGGAGGUUUUACCUUUCUUCUUUUACUUCUUCUAGAUCUGGAUUUAAGGUAUACAAGGUGGAAUUUUGAGAAAAUUGGUAAUAACUUACUGUUCGAGGGGGUAUGGGGAGUGGAUGGUGAGAAUCUGGUGAGUUUUGGAGCUUUGUCGCCUAUGACAAUAGUGGGAGAGGGUUUCAGAGGAUGAGGAGAGGAAGACAAUGAGAG
rnacentral:lncRNA from 1 species